rnacentral:rRNA from 1 species
GGGUUACAUUUGUAGCUUGCUACAAAUGUAAUUAGUGGCAGACGGGUGAGUAAUGCAUAGGGAUCUACCUAGUAGUAUGGGAUAGCCACUAGAAAUGGUGGGUAAUACUGUAUAAUCCCCGCGGGGGAAAGAUUUAUCGCUAUUAGAUGAGCCUAUGUUAGAUUAGCUAGUUGGUAGGGUAAAGGCCUACCAAGGCGAUGAUCUAUAGCUGGUCUGAGAGGAUGAUCAGCCACACUGGAACUGAGAUACGGUCCAGACUCCUACGGGAGGCAGCAGUGGGGAAUAUUGGACAAUGGGCGCAAGCCUGAUCCAGCUAUGCCGCGUGAGUGAGGAAGGCCCUAGGGUUGUAAAAC